ACGGGUGAGUAACGCGUGGGAACGUGCCUUCUGGUUCGGAAUAACUCAGGGAAACUUGAGCUAAUACCGGAUACGCCCUUUUGGGGAAAGGUUUACUGCCGGAAGAUCGGCCCGCGUCUGAUUAGCUAGUUGGUGGGGUAACGGCCUACCAAGGCGACGAUCAGUAGCUGGUCUGAGAGGAUGAUCAGCCACACUGGGACUGAGACACGGCCCAGACUCCUACGGGAGGCAGCAGUGGGGAAUAUUGGACAAUGGGCGCAAGCCUGAUCCAGCCAUGCCGCGUGAGUGAUGAAGGCCUUAGGGUUGUAAAGCUCUUUUAUCCGGGACGAUAAUGACGGUACCGGAGGAAUAAGCCCCGGCUAACUUCGUGCCAGCAGCCGCGGUAAUACGAAGGGGGCUAGCGUUGCUCGGAAUCACUGGGCGUAAAGGGCGCGUAGGCGGUCUUUUAAGUCGGGGGUGAAAGCCUGUGGCUCAACCACAGAAUUGCCUUCGAUACUGGGAGACUUGAGUUCGGAAGAGGUUGGUGGAACUGCGAGUGUAGAGGUGAAAUUCGUAGA
rnacentral:rRNA from 1 species